ACCACAUACACUUAUUAUAUGAUGUUUGUAAAACAGAACUUUGACUAGUCAUAAAUGUAAAAAUUCAGAGGGGUCAUAUCCACCAUCUAAACUCAGCAGACCUUAAUGCAUCAGAGUGCACAGGGGUAGUCUUGCGCAUGAAAGGUCCUUCAGGAAGUCUUUGUGAAUGUUGUGCAUGUUGGAGCAGCAUUUCCGAUGUGAGCACAUGAGUGGAAAAUGAGCUUUAACUAAGCUUGUAAACAUGACCAUCUCCUCCAUGGCUUUUAAUCAGCUUCACAACUGUCCCACUCCAGAGAAUUAGAUAAGAGAUCUUAGUAGCUUAAAUAGUGCUUUGCAAACAGAUGUACAUCAAUAAGUGCAUCUGGAGUGCUGUUUUGCAUUCGUAUCUGUCUACAACAUAAACUGUUUUACACACAACAUAGAGUGAGAGCUGAUUAUUUUAUGGCUAUUAUAUCAUUAUAUAUUUUACAAAUGUGUAAAUGAUAAAGAAACAUCCCAUGCAUACUUACCAAAUAGUCUUAAAUUUGUGAUUCAAAGUACUUGCAUAAUAACUAAUGCACACAGAUUCCCGGUGCAAAUUAUGCUUAUGGAACACUAUGGUUAUGUUGUUAUGCCACUGUGGAAAUGCAUGCACAUGCCUGCUAUCCCUCUGAUUUAUUUGAUUAGUUCUGCUAGAACAUUCAGUUUUCACAUCAUUAACAAAUUAACUAAGCUUGUGCAUGUACAGAAUAUCUGUAUUCAGAGCUUAAAUAUUUGUUCGACAGCUAAAAUAGAAACUUUUUUCCCCUCCCACACUUACCUUCGACAUUCACUGUCAUGUUGCUGGAACUUGAGAUAUUUCCGCUCAUUAUUCAUAAGCUGUUAUCAUUGCACAAACUAAUCAUGUUGAUUUCAUUUUUUCCAACAGUUAUUCCAUUAUCUUUUCUCUAUGUGAGUUCAUGGACCCCGGUCUAAUGGUUUUUGAUUCGUUAAUUUAUCACGGUAAGCAAUGUUUUGAAAUUUCCCUAAGCCUACUUGUAAUAAAGUAUAUUUGGCAGAAAAUAUAUGAAAGGGGAGGGAGCCUCUUUUGAAAAUGAUGUCAAAUACUUGUGAAUUACAUCAGAAUGAAUAAAUAAGAGGGUCAAGCAUUUUCUCUUAAGACUGUGUGAGCGAAUGCCAAGGAGAGAAAACAUUCAAUCUAAGAUUAAGAGAGUGCAGAGUCCAAACAGCUUCAGGCACUUUCUUUCUAUUCUCCGCUUCUCUCUCCUCACUGGUGCCUACUUAUUUUGCUCACACGCUUUACAUUCUCAUCAUAUUAAAAAUUCAUUUUAUCUUGAGUAAUGGGGCAAGCUCUGGCUUUUUCUUGUGAAUUUUCCCGAGCGCUCAUUUCAGGUAGUUUCUCUUGUAAGGGAUAGUUCACCCAAAAAUUUAAAUGAAAACUCUUAUGUUGUUCCAAAGCUGCGUGAUUCAGUUUCUUUUGUGGAACACAAAAGAAGAUGUUAUGAAAAGAGACUUUUUAUUUUAUUUUAUUUUUAUAUAUAUAUACAGUGAAAUUCAGUGGGGUUCACUGUUGAUUUGGACCCCAUUGACUUUCAUUGUAUAGGCAAAAACAGUCCUUCAGAAUGUCAUCUUUUGUGUUCCACAGAAGAAUUGAAUUAAUCAAUACAAGUGCACAACUAAUAAUGUAAACACAGUUAUGAAACAACAUUCUAAGACCAAACUGAAAAAAAGAAAAAAAAGCAAGCUUUGACCUGUAAAAAAAUUAAGAUUUGGAACCCUGAGCUCUCCCAGUGUUUGAGUAUUUGUUUACUGAGAGCGUUAAAUAAGGAAAUUGCUCUGCUUGCAUGCCUUACGUUUUCUUCCCAAUUAAUGCGUUUGUUUUUUAUUAAUCUCCUUUGGACUAUUAAACUGCAACCCCAGCAAAAAAAAAAAAAGAAACACUGUGCUGCUGGGAGUGUGAGGUCACAGAAGAGAGUAAGAAAGUUAAAGAAAAUUUUCUCACCGUGUUUCUGCUGCAUGGAAUGGUGCAUGCUGGGAGCUGAGGGAUCCUCUGCGGUUGUGAGGAACCCCCUGCUUCACCACGUCUCAAACUCUGGAGCAGGAAGUGGGACACCCCUGGACAGUCCAAAAGUUGACAAUGCGAGGCAGAAUUCUCUUUUUUUAACAGUCACAGAACUGUUAUUAUGGUGAUGCCUUGGGGGAAGCGGAGGACAUCCGGAGUUCAACGAGAAGGAAGAAAGCGGAGCAGAUUGUGACAGCUCUACAGCGGAACACGAGGAUCUGUGUUAGUGGAGCUCAGAUUGGCAGGAAAGCUGGUACGCGGCAGAGGGGCUCAGAGCUGAGCGUAGAUGCCGGCAGAUGUUGAAGAUGCCUUGCUGGACUGGGGAAGGCUAAGUAUGUGCACUGUAAAAAAUUAUUUAGCAGUUUAGUUGUUUCAAUGAAUUUUUUUAUGUUGACACAACUUGCAGUUACUGAAUUUGUUCAUUCAACUAAAAAUUUUAAGUUUUCAGUGUCUCAACUAGUUUGAAAGUUGACUGAACUAGGUUAUUUGUCCUUAUAACUUAAAAAAAUUUGUUGACUCAAUUCAAUAGCAAUAUCACAUUCACAACAUCACUUAUCGCGAGAUCUCGUCAUUCUCCUGAAUGCUGUUGAAGACAGAAGGUCGUCAGCCAUUCUAGUCAGUUUCUCCUCAAAGUUUGGACAUUUGACUAAAAUACAACUUUGGUAAGUAAACUAUUCGUAUUUAUUGGCUUAAUGUGUAAAAUUACAUUUGUUGUCUCAGAAGAGUAAGUAUGGUUAUAGAGUGGUAUAUUCUGUAUGUAAAUUACUGUAUGUAAAUGUUCGUUUCGCGGCACUCUGAAGCCUCAAAAUACAGGCAGUUCCACAGUAUUUUCCUUAUAAAUAUUAAAACAUAUAUUCUCCCAUGCGGGACAGUGGAGCUGAACUUAUGUGGAGAACGAUAAAAAUACAAUUUAAAUGUAUUAUUUGAGCCCAGGGCUGCGUUAGAGACCGUUCAAACAGAGCGCGAGAGCUCAACGGAUCACUGUAUGGAUUAAGAACGGCGGGAAUUUAAAAAAAAGGAGCUGCUCUAAACCUGACAGCGUAAGACAUCUGUCAGAAUAUACAUCGAUGAAAAAUUAGGGGAAAAAGAGAUUCCUACUCGAACUGUGUCUUUUCUGCAUGUUAUAAAGGAAACGAAUGAGCAGCACAGAUGAGCACCUCCCUCAGAGUGCUUCUGGAGCGCGUAACUUAACUUAACGUUACAUUUGAUAUCGCUGACAUAAGCUUAGUUCUGAUGAUUUUUUUUACAGUCUACGGUUCAGAUGAAGUUCUGAAGGUAGCGUUACAAACUCUUCUUUCAGUUUUCUGAAGUACGUUAGUCAUUCAAGUGCCUCACUAGAACCUAGAACCCAGUGUAAUGCUGCGUGAAUAUCUGUUUUUAUACAGUCUAUGGUGAAUAUACGGUCAUAAGUAAAUUGCAUACGUUCAAAUCUAUAUAUUUUAGAAUAAAAGCAUAUAUCUUGUAUAAAUAGAGAUACAAUAACGAUCGACACAAAUGUGUUAAAUUUCCUUUUAUUGUGUUAUAAUUCUGUGUUGUGUCAUUUAAAAGCAUUGUCUGGAUGGUAUAGUUUGUCUUUGGCAUUUAAUACAAACUUGUCAAUACAUUUGACUCUCUGUAAAGAUUUAUUUAUAUGUAUGUUUAUUAUUUUACAGUGUUUUAACAUGUUUUUGUAUUUUUCAUGUUUAUGAUAUUUUGGGAUGACUGAAGAUUCAGAGCAGAAUUCAAUAAUCCUGUGAAUGGACCACAGCGAGUCCUUUUGCAGUUAUCCAUCAAAAUGAUAUGCAGACAUAAUGGAAAUGGCAUUUACACAGUAGAGCUUGGACGAAGUUCACACAGGCUCUGCGCAGGAAUUCAUCAAGGACAUAACUGCUGGGAUUACGCUUGUGGAUGACCAAUCUGAGCACCAUCAGUCUGCAGUGAUGUAGUCCAGCCAUCCAGUGACAUUAAGGAUGUUGAGAAAGAAAUUGAAGAGGGCAUUCUGAUUGUAACUGAGGAACAGCAAUGUGAUGUGCUUCCCAAGGAAUAACCAACAUUGGUCUCAUUUGGACAUCCUUUCAUCACUGACAUCUCCCAUGUCCCCAAGGCAUUUAGACUCCUAAUGGGUCUGUAUGCAGUGAACAUCCACCACCUCCAGCACAUUAAAUACACCAUUGAGGCUCUGCAAAAACUUGUGAAGAUCAGCUGCUCCCACCGUGUGCUCGCUACAGCGGCAGGAACUGUAGGUGUGGGGGAGUGAAUGUCCAGCGCUCUCUCCACCCUCAACACCACAAAUAAGGUGUCCUUGAGCAAGGCACAACUUCUCCCCGGGUACUGCAGCAUAAAUGGCUGCCCACUGCUCUGGGUGUGUGUUCACGGUGUGUGUUCACUGCUGUGUGUGCACUUUGGAUGGGUUAAAUGAAGAGCACAAAUGUAUGUCAUGUCACUUUCACUUUUCAGUGUUCAUGAUGUGUCCAUCGGCUCCACCGCACUCUUUCUUAAAAAGUAGUGUUUUUUUUGUUUUUUGUUUUUUAAUAAGGAAAGGUUCUUUUGUGCCUUUCACUACAUUUUAGAAUGUACAUUAAAGUUUAUCAUGUCAUAACUUGGAAUAUGCAUGUUCUCAUGUAAACAAAUGUUGUUUCCCCUCUCAUUUUCUUAAACAGUAUGUACACAUUUUCAGUAUGUAGCAUUAUGAUGGGGGACGAGUUUGGAAACUUUCAAGAUCCUUCUGAUGUUAACACCUCUGUCUGGUCAUGUUGUGCUGUGAAAUUUAGAAUCUGACUUUAGAUCUUUGUGCUUCCAUGUGCAUUCAUUCCAUUUAUAUCUUAUUAUACAGAAGUACGGUACACUAAUUUUUUGUAACUAAUUGUGAUGUUAUAUACAUAUAUCUUGGUUUCUCAUUUUGACCAUGACUUGCAUUAUGGUGGGGGGAGUGCAUGUGAACUUGUGCAGGGUUAAUAUGCAGAGUUCAACCUUCUGAUUUUCAUAUUGAGUUAUGAAAUUAAAAACAAUCCCUGUGGUUUUGAUCUGAUGAAUUGAAACGCAACUAUUUGUUUCUCAAUCCCAUGCCAAUGUUAUUUAUUAUACAUCACACUUUCAAGUGUCAGUUCAGAUCUUUAGACGUGUGUUUUUAUAUUUUGCUUUUUUUUGUUUUGUUUAUCAAUUAUCAGUUGAUGUGUUGACGGCAAAUUGCUUGUUCAAUUUAAAUGUGAAUGAAAGUGUUGUCUCUAUCAUUAAAUAAAUGACAUUAAAAAAGUG